UACGUAGGAUCCUAGCGUUGUCCGGAUUUACUGGGCGUAAAGGGUGCGCAGGCGGACUUAUAAGUCAGAAGUGAAAUCUCGGCGCUUAACGCCGAAACUGCUUUUGAUACCGUAGGUCUUGAAUCAGCGAGAGACGUGUGGAAUUCCGAGUGUAGCAGUGAAAUGUGUAGAUAUUCGGAAGAACACCAGUGGCGAAGGCAGCACGUUGGCGCUCGAUUGACGCUCAGGCACGAAAGCAUGGGGAGCAAACAGG
rnacentral:rRNA from 1 species